UGGGCUGGUGGUUAUGGCAGGAGUGAAACACCCGGACACAUUCCGAACC
rnacentral:rRNA from 1 species